CACUCUUUGAUCCUUCUAUUCCAAUAUCUCCUCCACCACCAUCACUGUCAUCUUCAAUAGCACCACCAUCACCACUAGAUCAAUGGGUUGUAAAUGGAAUAUGGGUUUUGUAUCUCAUUCACCCUGGAGGGAGGGAAAAUGGUUGAUUUGGAUCAUGUUCCGCUUGUGCAGACUCGGAAAUGGGGUUUUCAUGGAGGAUUCUGGUUAUCCAGAAGAGAUCAUUCUUUUGGGUUUACCAGUGAAAUCAAUCUUACAGGAAUCUAACUUUCACAUCAUAUCUAGCUUCGCUAAUUUUGGGUCAAGGUGCUUACAAAGUGGUAUGCUUGUAUAUAAAUUUAUGGGGUUUGAUGUUGGGUCCAAAUUCAUGAUUUCUUUUUCAAGAUGGCUAAAUUUCUGCUGGUGACAUAGUUGAUUGCUUGCCAUAAUGACUUCUCCCCUUGUUAAAAGAUUUGGCAUGGGGGAGUAAUGAGAGCUGGCUAAUCCAUUCACAUCAGAGGAGUGUAAUCGGUAGCAUCUGCUUAUAAAUACGUGGUUGAAGAACAAUAUGGAAGCUAAAGUGCAGAAAUGUGAGAGCAGCAUUCCUGUCAUCAAGCAUUUAGAUCAUAACACAUGAACAUGCUACAGAUUUAAGAUACUUUACAAUGUUUGUUCCUGAAAUUGUGGUGCUGAAAAGAAGCAAGUGAACAUAAGGAGAUCUAACUCUAGUUGAAAUGGCUUAAGGACAGUGCUUGUGAUGCUGAUGACAUAAUGGAUGAAGUCUCAUACGAAACCUCUUCCGUCUACACACCAAAUGGAAACAGCUUGGAGCACAUCUUUUAAAGCUGGCUAAAUAAUUUGCAGAUUUCUAACAACCAUGUAGUUAUUUGAUUGCCUCGAUGACUUCUCCUCUCAUCAGUGAACGACAAAUGAGCAGAAUUACCCUACGCAAACACUGUGAAAAGGAAGAUAAUACAGUAUGGUGGUCAUGGUAUGCACAGAGUUUUAAGACCUACAGUCUUACUGUUGUGGCAAGGGUUUUAGGACAUCGUCUAGUACUGCUAAGAACAUGAGCACUGGAUGUGAUAUACGGAGGUUUGAACUAGUUGGGUAUGCAAUGCUACUGUUACAGUUGCUUAUGUUUCCUCCAGGUACAGUAAAGUUAUAUUUAACCCUGGGUACAGUAAAGACAAUUGAAAUUCAACACAGAAACUGUAUGUGAAGCCAAUGUUUGAUUUCUCCCUGUACCUUACCUUUAUGAAUUUUCCUCUCAAAAAUUAUGUUUAAGUUAUCUUUUUCUGUAAAGCCUGUAACACACCACAAGCACAUGUAAUUGCAUUACAUGAAUCACCUUCUAUUUCUUUUUCUGUUGAAUAAUGUACAAAUUUGAUUCCACUCGCAAGCAUGUAGAAGCAUAUGCAUUGCACUUGCAGAAUAAAUUUUGUAAUUUCUAUAAA